rnacentral:rRNA from 1 species
UAGAGUUUGAUCCUGGCUCAGAACGAACGCUGGCGGCAGGCCUAACACAUGCAAGUCGAGCGGAAACGAAGAGGUGCUUGCACCUCUGGCGUCGAGCGGCGGACGGGUGAGUAAUGCUUGGGAAUAUGCCUUAUGGUGGGGGACAACAGUUGGAAACGACUGCUAAUACCGCAUAAUGUCUACGGACCAAAGUGGGGGACCUUCGGGCCUCACGCCACAAGAUUAGCCCAAGUGGGAUUAGCUAGUUGGUGAGGUAAUGGCUCACCAAGGCGACGAUCCCUAGCUGGUUUGAGAGGAUGAUCAGCCACACUGGGACUGAGACACGGCCCAGACUCCUACGGGAGACAGCAGUGGGGAAUAUUGCACAAUGGGCGCAAGCCUGAUGCAGCCAUGCCGCGUGUGUGAAGAGGGCCUUCGGGUUGUAAAGCACUUUCAGUAAGGAGGAAAGGUUAAGUGUUAAUAGCACUUAGCUGUGACGUUACUUACAGAAGAAGCACCGGCUAACUCCGUGCCAGCAGCCGCGGUAAUACGGAGGGUGCGAGCGUUAAUCGGAAUUACUGGGCGUAAAGCGCGCGUAGGUGGUUCGAUAAGCGGGAUGUGAAAGCCCCGGGCUUAACCUGGGAACGGCAUUCCGAACUGUCGGGCUAGAGUAUGGUAGAGGGUAGNUGAAAUUUCCUGUGUAGCGGUGAAAUGCGUAGAUAUAGGAAAGAACACCAGUGGCGAAGGCGGCUACCUGACCAAAUACUGACACUGAGGUGCGAAAGCGUGGGGAGCAAACAGGAUUAGAUACCCUGGUAGUACACGCCGUAAACGAUGUCAACUAGCCGUUGGGACUCUUGAAGUCUUAGUGGCGCAGCUAACGCACUAAGUUGACCGCCUGGGGAGUACGGCCGCAAGGUUAAAACUCAAAUGAAUUGACGGGGGCCCGCACAAGCGGUGGAGCAUGUGGUUUAAUUCGACGCAACGCGAAGAACCUUACCUGGCCUUGACAUCCAGAGAACUUUCCAGAGAUGGAUUGGUGCCUUCGGGAACUCUGUGACAGGUGCUGCAUGGCCGUCGUCAGCUCGUGUCGUGAGAUGUUGGGUUAAGUCCCGUAACGAGCGCAACCCCUAUCCCUGGUUGCUAGCAGGUAAUGCUGAGAACUCCAGGGAGACUGCCGGUGACAAACCGGAGGAAGGUGGGGAUGACGUCAGGUCAUCAUGGCCCUUACGGCCAGGGCUACACACGUGCUACAAUGGUGCGUACAGAGGGCUGCAAACUCGCGAGAGCCAGCCAAUCCCUUAAAACGCAUCGUAGUCCGGAUCGGAGUCUGCAACUCGACUCCGUGGAGUCGGAAUCGCUAGUAAUCGCGAAUCAGAAUGUCGCGGUAAAUACGUUCCCGGGCCUUGUACACACCGCCCGUCACACCAUGGGAGUGGAUUGCACCAGAAGUGGUUAGUCUAACCUUCGGGAGGACGAUCACCACGGUGUGGUUCAUGACUGGGGUGAAGUCGUAACAAGGUAACCG